UAAAAGCUGGGAAGGAAGGAUACAACAAAACAAGAUACACCAGAGAGAAUUGAUAUUAUGAGGUUGAACCCUUUAAGCUAAAAAACUGGAUUUGUCAAAAAUUUUCCCCAGAUUAUAGGGCCAACGGGGAAUCAGUUGAUCUCAAAAAAUGCCCAGGCGAGAAAAGGAUUAUUUCAAUGGAGUCGGCGAUGGUAUUUUGUAUUUUUGAUUUAUUUUUAAUAAAGAAUAAUAAAUUGAAGUAAAACAUGUUUUCAAAAUUGCCGCCUUAUCUAGUUCUCGGGCCAGACGUUUGAUGACGCCUAAUGACGCAACUAAUCUGUGGCGCAAGACGCAACAGUUGUCAGCACGGGUAUGAAGCUGAGAUAGGCGCACUGGCAACACGAGAGUAUGGGCAAGGGGGUAUUGCACUUAAAGAGAGGUGAACAGGAAGCACCAAUAAGCGUUACGUAUUUUAAAACAAGCGCUUAAUAUUUAGGGAUUUUAUGAAUUUCUGUUUUUUGACAUAAAAAUGACAUUUACGUUUGCGCAAAAAAUACGCCAAAAAGUGCCAAACUUUUAUUGUUGUGUGUUGUCGCGUGUUAUCUAGUCUGUCGGAAUCGUUCUUUGGGCUGGAGUGGGAUUUUUGAUUUCUGCUACUCAAGUAAACUUUUGUCAUGGCUGGUUAUCGAAAAUAUUUCUGCAAGUACCCUGACUGCACCAGUGGAUACGUGCCGAACCCCGUUAAAGGACUUGCCAACAAGCACUUCUUCACGUUCCCUAAACACCCAAAGCUUUACGAAUUGUGGAGGAAUGCCUGCAAAAUUGAAGUUUCCGUAAGUUCAAAGUUUUGGCGUUUAUGUGAGGAUCAUUUAGAACUCCGCGAUUUUGAGAAUGAGACAAAGGAUAGAUUAAAUCUAAAUGUAAUUCCCAAGCCCUGUGUUUUGGCUUCACAAGAGAAGUUUGUUGACAUUUCACAAACAAAUCUUUUUGUGGCAGAUGAUACUUUUAUGGAAAAUUCUUGCAGAAAAGGUUUUAUUUUGUUUUACAUCUGGGACAGACAGGCAAAAUAUGCCAACACUGACUGAUUUUUUUGUUAUGUAAUAAUAAGUUAAUUUAAUUUUCAGAGAAAUUUGAUUUGAUGUAUUAUUUUGUUAUUGAUAGUUUACAAUAAAAAAGUUUGA